GCUGGGCAUGGUGAUGCGCGCCUGUAGUCCCAGAUACUCGGGAGGCUGAGGCAGGAGAAUCGCUUGUUUUUUGGAAGGUGGAGGUUGCAGUGAGCAGAGGUUGUGCCACUCCACUCCAGCCUGGCAACAGAGUGAGACCCCGUAGACAGGGCUCUUUUUUUUUUUUUUGAGCUAGAGUUUCAUUCUUGUUGUCCAGGCUGGAGUGGAGUGGCACAACCUCUGCUCACUGCAACCUCCACCUUCCGGGUUCAAGCGAUUCUCCUGCCUCAG
rfam:Pongo abelii chromosome 7.